rnacentral:misc_RNA from 1 species
CCCCUUUUUUUUUUUUUUUUUGAGCGAGUGUGAGCUGGGGCAUUAGCACUUAGCAAAAUUUUAUGCCAAAACUGAUGCUAACGUACUCUGCAUACUCUAUCAAACCCUUAAUGAAAUUCAAUACACAUUGUACUAGUGACAUAAAUGUGAAAGAUAGUGGAUAUAAUUUGCAUUAUUCAUCUCCUCCAGGCAUUAUUUAUUUUACCAUUGUGUAGAGAUAACAAUAGGUUCUGUUCAUGCAUUAUCAUGUUUGUGUUUUUAUGAGAUGAUGUUAAUAGUUUGUGUAAUCGUGGUAUUGUUUGUGCUUAUCCAGUGAUUUAUUUUACUCAAAAAACUUUUUUGUUGUUUGUACUGCACUCUUUCCCAAAAUUGUUACUUUGAAGUAAUUGUUAGAAUGUGAAUCAGAAAGUUGGUUUUAUGAAUGUUUUGCUAGCAUCUACUGCCUAGUGCUUAUGGAAAAUGCAGGCACAUACUAACUUGGUUUUGUCUGCAUCCUUGAACUAUCAAUUUGUUUGUAUUGGUUUUAUUUUGUGCAACAUCUAUUAACUGGUGCUGAAAGUUGUGUUUAUUCAAUGAUUCUGAAAGAUUUGUGCACUGUGUAACUAAUUUGUUUAAUAAUCUUUCAUGAAGCUAUGCACACCAAGUUGCAGAGUUCUUUAAAUAUGUGAAAAACAGGAAAGAAGUUUCACCCUCAAAACCUGGCGAAGGUGGUCUUAACAGCAACCGACAGGUGUUGCUGCCGCAUGAAGGUGGAUUGUUUUUACCUAGCAAAAGGCACUUCCCAGAGUCUGCUCUCAAAUCUUUAGAUUUUAGACGAACA